GAUGAACGCUGGCGGCGUGCCUAAUACAUGCAAGUCGAGCGAACGGACGAGAAGCUUGCUUCUCUGAUGUUAGCGGCGGACGGGUGAGUAACACGUGGAUAACCUACCUAUAAGGCUGGGAUAACUUCGGGAAACCGGAGCUAAUACCGGAUGAUAUUUUGAACCGCAUGGUUCAAAAGUGAAAGACGGUCUUGCUGUCACUUAUAGAUGGAUCCGCGCUGCAUUAGCUAGUUGGUAAGGUAACGGCUUACCAAGGCAACGAUGCAUAGCCGACCUGAGAGGGUGAUCGGCCACACUGGAACUGAGACACGGUCCAGACUCCUACGGGAGGCAGCAGUAGGGAAUCUUCCGCAAUGGGCGAAAGCCUGACGGAGCAACGCCGCGUGAGUGAUGAAGGUAUUCGGAUCGUAAAACUCUGUUAUUAGGGAAGAACAUAUGUGUAAGUAACUGUGCACAUCUUGACGGUACCUAAUCAGAAAGCCACGGCUAACUACGUG
rnacentral:rRNA from 1 species